rnacentral:rRNA from 1 species
UCCUACGGGGGGCAGCAGUGAGGAAUAUUGGUCAAUGGCCGGAAGGCUGAACCAGCCAAGCCGCGUGAAGGACGAAGGUGCCAAGCAUUGUAAACUUCUUUUGUCAAGGGACAAAAUCAGGCUCGAGAGCCUGACCGAGGGUACUUGAAGAAAAAGCAUCGGCUAACUCCGUGCCAGCAGCCGCGGUAAUACGGAGGAUGCGAGCGUUAUCCGGAUUUAUUGGGUUUAAAGGGUGCGUAGGCGGGCUGUUAAGUCAGCGGUAAAAGCCCGGGGCUCAACCCCGGCGGCCCGUUGCAACUGGCUGG